CAGUAGCCACGGUAAUACGUAGGUGGCAAGCGUUGUCCGGGAUUAUUGGGCGUAAAGGGCUCGCAGGCGGUUUCUUAAGUCUGAUGUGAAAGCCCCCGGCUCAACCGGGGAAGGUCAUUGGAAACUGGGAAACUUGAGUGCAGAAGAGGAGAGUGGAAUUCCACGUGUAGCGGUGAAACGCGUAGAGAUGUGGAGGAACACCAGUGGCGAAGGCGACUCUCUGGUCUGUAACUGACGCUGAGGAGCGAAAGCGUGGGGAGCGAACAGGAUUAGAUACCCGCGUAGUCCCUGUCUCUUAUAC
rnacentral:rRNA from 1 species